AAACUUUCAACAACCAAUCUCUUGGUUCUGGCAUCGAUGAAGAACGCAGCGAAAUGCGAUAAGUAAUGUGAAUUGCAGAAUUCAGUGAAUCAUCGAAUCUUUGCACGCAUAUUGCGCCCGCUAGUAUACUGGCGGGCAUGCCUGUCCGAGCGUCAUU
rnacentral:rRNA from 1 species